CCGGAACUUGCCAGCCAUCUGUCACCUGGUCGGGGCUUGGGACUGAAACCUGUUCCACCCGCGGGCCACCAGCGCGCCCUCUCUUCCCGGCCAGAUCCCUGCCAGGCGCCAGGAAGUUCCUGGUCGCCAUAACAUGAAACGCAUUCCUUUGCCAUGCCGUGGGCCAGAUGCUCUUCAUUGGGCCCCCCGCUUGACCCCACAGCUGUUGAGGUGUCCUUCUAGAAUCCAAGCUUGGAGAAUUCAAUGACUUCUUCCUAAAGCCUCAAGAAGUCUUCAAAAAUUUCACCCAGACUAGGAGGGACUUUGUGUCUCAGGAUCCCAGCAAGUCCUUACCAGUGAGACUCGGGGUGACUGUACAAAUCCCAUCACCUGUGGAAUGUUCCCGACCCACCUCUCUCUCUCUGCUUCCAGUGAGGAAGCUUCAGACAUGGGAAAACAAACAAACAGCAGCAGCAACAAAACCCCAAAGAACACCAACAGUGCGUUCUCCCUAGUUGCUGCCGCUCUGUGCUUUCUCUCUGCUCUAUUACAUCGGGGGACCACCAGGCUGCCCCUAGUGGCGUCUUCUGGAAAUGACGAUUGAUGUGUUUUGGUUCCGGGGGACAGGAGUGGACAGCUUGUUCUUUCGGAGGAGACCCACAAGGCCUUGUAUUUUUAAGGUUUGCCUGGCAUCACUGAAGAGGGCCCCUGAGUUGGCCUAGCAACCUGCGAGGCUUCUCCGGGUCUGUCCUGGAAGAUACAUGUGUGAGAUCCGAUACACGCAUGAGAUCACCUCCUUAGGGCUCCUUCCUCCAAGUGCUUCAGUCUGUGCUGAUUCUGGCUCUCCUAGGUGCCUGCAGCCUUAGGAUGUCCCCAAAACCCACGAGAGUGGGCAGGCUAAGAUUCCAGGUUAGUCCUUGCAAAAGCUUUCAUAGCUAGGGCAGCUUUCCCCCAACCAUGGUCAAUUUCCAUAAGUCCUUGUUCUUUUUGCUUAGUCAAAGGCCACAGACCUGACUUCUGGUGUGCGUGUCUCAACGCCCACUUGCCAGGGCAGCUGACUGUCCCAACCCUUCUCAUUUUGCCACUCCUUGUUCAGCCUGGCUCUAAAUUCUUAUUUCCAAUUUAAUCGGCCAGCCCUGACUUUCAGGAAGUUUUUCUCAUCUCUGCCCUGCAUUUGUCUGGCUUAAGUUUAAUGUCCUCAUGCUCUGGGGAAUCCCUUCUCGUGAGAGGCUUUCCUAUGAGUAAGCUAAGACACCUAUCAUUCUGUGAGCUCUGAUUCUCCAGAAGGUUCUUGCACCUUCCUUCAGAGACCUAGUCCUCAGUGGACUACAUGUGAGCUGGCAACGAGGCCCCAGGCACCACCCUCUGCCAGGAAGAGUUGUUGGGGACCCAGAAACCAUCACUUCAUUCUCUCCUCAGCCUCCCUAGCGAGGUGGGCGUUGUUGGUCUUUUCCCAUUCGGCAGAUGCCAGGCUGAGCUUCAGACAUGAGCUGACCUGGCCGAAGUCACACAGGCAGAAUAGGAAACCCAAUGAUUCGGUCCUUACACCUAACAAGGUGUUACUGUGGGCAUGGAGUCUGCUCUCAGGCUCAUAACAGGGAACCACAGCAAAUGUGUGAGACCUGGUUUCCCCUCAGCGUGCUAAACUGACUGGGCCUCCACCUCCACUUCAAGGCUGUGUUAAUCCUCUGCAGCUGCCUAAAUGUCCCUCCCUUAGGAUCCUUGCUGUUCAUGUUUUCGCCGGUUUGUUGUUUUUAGAGGGCAAAGGGCCAGGUGUGGUGACUCAAGACCAGCCUGUUAUCUGGGCAGCAUAGCAAGUCCUAGUCUGGAGGAAGAGGAGGAAGAGGAGGAAGAGGAGGAGGAGGAAGAAGAGAUGCUACUGCCACAGAUGUGGUGGUGAGUGCCCCAAUUCCCGCACUUGGAAGGUGGAGGUAGGAAGAUCAGCAGUUCAAGGUCACGCUCAGCUCCGCGGGGAAUUGAGGUGUGUCUGGGUUAGAGAGCCUGUCUAAAAGACACGCUACAGCACAGACUAGAAGAGGACACACAGUCCCAGAGACUCAGGGUCGCCUGCUGUCCUGUGUCAGCGUAGCAGGGUAGCAGGGGCUCCACUUGGUAGGAGGCUCUCUCUCUCUCUCUUUCUCUCUCUCUCUGGUGCUGGGAGUUAAACCCAGGACUUUGUGAAUAUAAAAUAAUUUAUUACUGAACUCCACUCCCAGUUCAGGAGUUCAGGAAGCCUUUCAUAGACGCUUUACUUUUUGUUUUUGUUUUUGAUUACACACACACACACACACACACACACACACACAGAGAGAGAGAGAGA